AUUCCUUGAUAAUUAUUUUAAGGAGUUGAAUUUGCUUAGACAAUAUUUUGUACUCACUGCUCAGUUUGUUUCCAGAGCGGUGAAAGAUGUUCUUCAGAUCUUUUUGCCACUGGUACUUUAAUUUGAAGAAUUUUUUGGUUCUCUCUGAGAGUGGAUCUUCCCGUUCUUAAUUAUAAUUUUCUGAGAGUGAGAUUCGUGAAUUGAGGUUUGCGUUUGUUGGGGGCAUAAUAUGUCCAUUUGAAUUCCCUAAAUCGCGGCGAAAUUGCUCCCAAUUGGUAUUCUUAUAAGAGACGAAUGAAUGUGGUGUAUUCAAAAUUAAGCUUGAGGGGUCUAUUUUUAGUUUUAAUUUGAUCGGAAAAUUAUCUGAAAAGGUUGGCAGUGAUGAGACGGAAAAAUCUGGAUUAUUUCUAUCGAUGAAUUUGGUGCUGAUAAGAAAGUGAUCCAAAAAUGAAGAUCCAUUUGGGGCUUUUCCGUUGAGAUUUUCUGUCACGUCACCCCAUGAUGAGCAUUUUGAAUUAAGAUCACCACCAAGUAUGAACCCAUCAAAACCUAAACAGGAUUGAAGAAUCGUAUUUAGAUCCGACUCAAGCUGCUGCGACGGAUAGUUGCAUGGAAUAUAAAUAGAACCAAAUAUAUAUCUCUUACGUGUGUUGUUAUAUGAGGAAUUAAUUUGUAUAAAUGAAGUACUUAUCCCAACAUUAUUUAUGGAAAAACUAUUGUAUUGUAUAGAGUUUUUAAUUGCCACCGCUACUCCAAUAGGAGAAUUAUCAUAAAUAAAGUUAUAACCCUCAAA